rnacentral:rRNA from 1 species
CCUACGGGUGGCAGCAGUGGGGAAUAUUGCACAAUGGGGGAAACCCUGAUGCAGCAACGCCGCGUGAGUGAUGACGGUUUUCGGGUUGUAAAGUUCUGUUUUCAGGGACGAUAAUGACGGUAUCUGAGGAGGAAGCCACGGCUAACUACGUGCCAGCAGCCGCGGUAAUACGUAGGUGGCGAGCGUUGUCCGGAUUUACUGGGCGUAAAGGGGGCGUAGGCGGGCUUUUAAGUGAGAUGUGAAAUACUCGGGCUCAACUUGAGAGCUGCAUUUGAAACUGUAAGUCUAGAGUGCGGGAGAGGAGAAUGGAAUUCCUGGUGUAGCGGUGAAAUGCGUAGAGAUUAAGAAGAACACCAGUGGCGAAGGCGAUUCUCUAGACUGUAACUGACGCUGAGGCUCGAAAGCGUGGGGAGCAAACAGGAUUAGAUACCCUAGUAGUC